rnacentral:lncRNA from 1 species
ACAGAAUAUGCUAAUAAUAAUAAAAUAAUAAUAUGAUAAUAUAAUAGAAUAAUAGUAUAGAAUAUAAUGAUAUAAAAUAUAUUAAUAGGAUAAUAUAAAAUAGAAUAUAAUAAUAACAGAAUAAUAUAAUAAUAUGAAAAUAUAAUAGAAUAAUAAUAGAAUAAUAAUAUAAUGAUAUAAUAAUAAUAAUAGAAAAAAUAUAAUAUAAUGAUAUAAAAUAUAUUAAUAGGAUAAUAUAAUAAUGGGAUAUAAUAAUAGUAACAGAUAUGAUGAUAAUAAUAUGGUAAUAGAAUAAUAGUAUAAAAUAAUCAGUUUCAUGGCAUAGGAUUGGAAUAAGGAUGAGAGGAGAAUCCCUAUGCGUCCUGUACCUUUAAGAAACAGAAAGAGCAGGAAAGCCCUCUUCCUUCCUUCCCUCCCACCCUCCCUUGCCCUGGCUCCAGGAGCCAAUCAGAACCCUUGGGGGCAAAGGGAGCAGGGCCAGGAAGGGAGCCUUCUCUCGGAAGGAAGAAACGGCAGCGCAGCAGCAGCCACGGAGGCUGGGGAACAGGCAAGGCAAGAUAUGCUGAAGCAGAGCCAACAAUAUACAAAUUGAGCAGAGCCAACAAUGUACAAAUUGAAAACUAUUUGCUGCUUAUCCAUUGCCGCUUACCAGAAGAAGGACAACCGAAACUGGAGUAAACCCGGGAGCCAGUAGUAACCGGACUAUUGCAAUCUACAGCCAGCUACUUAGAAACAGCAUUGUGUUCUCCUAGCUGGGGCUCUUUUUGACAACUACUCAGAAUCAACAUUCAUGCAUAGUUUGUUCCCCAGACUUGGGAUCUUACUCUUGAGAAACUGAACUUACUUCCAAUAGACUGUAAUUUCAAGAGAUAUGCUAUACAUUUGAUGUCAUCAACACAGGAUCUCAAAGAAUCAAAAGAACUUUUGGUCAAGGUUUUUUUUUUGGAACAAGCUUUUCAAUACCUGUGAAGUCUUAAAAGAUAUAUUAACCAAUAUUAUUUUGCAAAGGUUGAAUGUGUUUAUAUUAUUUUGGUUGCCAAAUUCAAUUGAUGUUUAAAUAGUGGAGACUAUUACAGUCUGGAAGAUACUACUGUGGAUUAUAACAGUUGACUGUACUUAUUAUUUUCAUUAUUGUUGUUAACUCUCAGGUAAUAUUGUAUGUAUAUGGUGCUCUGAUUUACAUAGUACAACUUAUGUUUUGAAACUUUAUAGUAUUCGCUUAUCCUUUUUACAUAGAAGGAAGAUAGCUCUAUACUCAGAGAGGCCUGACUAUUUCUGUGGCCUUUGCAAGAUGCUCUAAUAUACACAUCUAUUUUAUGUUUUGAACCUUUAUAGUGUUUGUUUAUCUCUUCGACAUUGUCUUUAAAAAGCAUUUGGAGACUAGAGCCCCAAAUCCUGGCAUCUUCAAGCAAUAAAAGGAUGAACAACAUGGAAACUAGUUUAAAAUCACCCGGGGUGAAAUGUUAGUAUGGGAGCCAAGAUGUGGGUUGUUAUUAGGAGUGUGCAGUUUAUUUAAUCACAUCUUCUUUCAUCAACUUUGCUGGAAGAAAACAGCCUGCAGCAGUUCCUCUACUUUAGUGAAUCCUGAAAGUGCCCCUAGGCUUUGUACACAUCUGAUUGGCUGUGAAGAAAAUACAAAACACUUUUAACUGGCUGAAAGCAUGCAAACAAGAAAAUAAUAACUGGAACUAAUGAAUAAUGAAGCAAAAAAGAACUAAAGUAAGUGAGUGAAAGCACCAAAUGCUGAAUUAUUUAAGCACUCCCAAAAUUGUAAAGUACUGAACAAAUUAGUGGGAAUGGACUUGACAAGGCUUUACAAAAAGGCAC